AUGCACUCUCCAUCCCGAAGGCCAAGAUCGCCGACUCGCUGGAUCUACCUCGACAGCGACUCCACCACAUCGUCAGAUCCACGAGCUCGUCACGAUCAGCGCCAAGUUCUUCACGGACGACAGCAAGAAGACGCUCGUACUCGCAUCGAGCGCCGAAGAGAAGCGCGGCGUCAAUCGGACCAGCGCGCUGGGCCCUCUGUCGACAUGCAUGCGCCAGGGGAACCAGGCGACUUGCCGGACGCGGUAGGUUGCCCUGCGUUCACUCGUGAGCUGCGGCAAGUCCAGUGGCCCAGCACGAAAAAUUUCAAGCCAGAUUUACCAGAGAAGUACGACGGCAAGUCGCAUCCGUCGGAGUUCCUCAGCAUCUACACCAUCGCGGUGCAAGCUGCCGGGGGGCGGGACGACAAGAUCCUUGCCAACUACUUCCCGCUGGUACUCAAGCCCAAUGUCAGGUCCUGGCUCAUGCACUUGCCGGACAACUCCAUAUCCUCCUGGGCAGAUCUAUGCCAUCAGUUUGUCGGCGCCUUUACAGGCGGCCACAAGCCUCAUGGCCAAGAGAGCGACCUUCAUCUGCUCGCCCAGAAGGAAGGAGAGCCCCUACGAAAGUACAUUCAGAGAUUCAGCCGUGUACAGCACAACAUCCCGGAUGUCCACCCUGCCGCGGUCAUCAGCGCGUUCCAUCAGAACGUGUGA
rnacentral:rRNA from 1 species